AUUGAACGCUGGCGGCAGGCCUAACACAUGCAAGUCGAGCGGAGCGGCGGACGGGUGAGUAAUGCCUAGGAAUCUGCCUGGUAGUGGGGGAUAACGUCCGGAAACGGGCGCUAAUACCGCAUACUAUCAGAUGAGCCUAGGUCGGAUUAGCUAGUUGGUGGGGUAAAGGCCUACCAAGGCGACGAUCCGUAACUGGUCUGAGAGGAUGAUCAGUCACACUGGAACGUACACACGGUCCAGACUCCUGCGGGAGGCAGCAGGGUGGAUGAUUGGAAAAGGGGCGAAAGCCUGAUCCAGCCAUGCCGCGGGUGUGAAGAAGGUCUUCGGAUUGUAAAGCACUUUAAGUUGGGAGACGUUCCCAACAGAAGAAGCCCCGGCUAACUUCGUGCCAGCCGCCGCGGUAAUU
rnacentral:rRNA from 1 species